CACGUAGGGUGCAAGCGUUGUUCGGAAUUACUGGGCGUAAAGGGCGCGUAGGCGGCCUUCUAAGUCGAACGUGAAAUCCCUGGGCUCAACCCAGGAACUGCGUCCGAUACUGGAAGGCUUGAAUCCGGGAGAGGGAUGCGGAAUUCCAGGUGUAGCGGUGAAAUGCGUAGAUAUCUGGAGGAACACCGGUGGCGAAGGCGGCAUCCUGGACCGGUAUUGACGCUGAGACGCGAAAGCGUGGGGAGCAAACAGG
rnacentral:rRNA from 1 species